GUUCCCAGUGCUAUGCAGCAGGAUCUCAUUGCUUAUUCAUUCCAAAAACAAUAGUUUGCAUCUAUUAACCCCAUCCCACUCUCUCCCCCUCCCCCUUGGCAACCACAGGUCUGUUCUCUACACACUUAACCUUUUAAUUCCAGCAUCUAUCUAUAUUAUAUACUUGGCACAUGCACUUCAGAGAAAUUUUGAUUUUAAUAAUGAUAGUCAAUUGGGUAUUUUCCCCUUCUCGGGAAUCACCCAAGGAGCAACGAUAAUGAGAAAUAAAUGAAAAUACCAUAAAACUAAGAGACACUAGAGAACCAAACCUCACAAUCAGAGGACAAGCUGACAGAAACAGCCCAAGUAUAGAGGGUUACAGAUGAUACCUAUUGUCGCAGUCACAAAAAGCUGGCCAAACAAGCUUCUCAGCAAAGAAAUGGAAAGUAAAGAAGUGAAACCAUGACCAGAAUGAAGGCCAGUAUGGAAGCAGCAUAAAGGAGAGCAGGGACCACAGAAAACACAAUGAGGGCCACAGAAGGGAAAGGUGACCAAAAUGAAAUAGACAUUAACAAAAGAUUUUUAAAGACUAGAGAGAAAAAUGACAAAUAUGGCAGUCAGCAGAGAGCCAGCAGACCACAAAGAAGAUAAACAAAAUAAACAGAAAAAAAAAUUUCAAGAUCUAAUUUAAGAACAUAUUCAGAAAUGAGAAUUGAGUAUACAGCAUGGAAGGGUACUCCAUAGCCUCUGGGAAAAAUGACGCAGAAUGAUCAACACUGAGACAACUCCCAGCAGGAAACAAAUGGCACGCUCCAUUAAAGUAAAUCAAGGAAAGUUUAACCACGGGACUCUUUACAAAGGUCUUGCAGGAUGCUGGGAAACCACAAGGAACAGUGCAGUGUUCUGGGGUUCCGGGUAGCAUUCGCAGCUUCCUGCCAAGACAACAACAGGGUGCUGGUGGGAGGGAGUGGUCAGACACAGCUGUGGGGAGUGGGUCACUUGGUGGAGGCAGCCAGUCUUCAGAUCCUGUCAGGGGAAUGAGGGCCCUGACCUCACUACCCCGCCGCCCCCACCGCCUUCUCAUCUCUUGCUGGUGCUCCUUUUGGCCAAACCCAACUGGAAUCCAGAAGACAAGAGCGCCCAUUGGUAUAAACCACACACGUCAGCCUCCUGGGACCCAGCAGAGUAAACAGAAUAGGGCGUGGAUCUGGAGGAGUGUCUGGGAGAGAUCCAGCAUAACCAGUAAAGUUGCUGGACUUCAGGGACAAAGAAGGAAUCCUUGGGCAUCACGAAAAAGUGGAUUCAGUCAUCUUAAGUUUGGUCCCUAAUUUAUUGCCUAACCCCAGGAACUUGAGAGAGUGAAAGGGCAUACUAACAAUAGGAUAUUAUAGGUGGAAACCAGCCCUCUCCCGGGCAUACUAUGAUGUGUGGUUUCCCACCUACAGACGAAAAAAUCGGAAUGCCUACAGACUUCUCCACAGCAAGAUUUAAUAUCAGAAGCUGGGGAGUAGGAGUGGGAAAUGCCUAAUAAGUCCUCAAAUAGGAGCAGAUAUGAUCUAUGAAUUCUAUACAUAUGUGGCCAUUCAGAUUGAAGGGCAGCACAACAUUUCUGAAUAUGCAAAACUCAAGGAAAUACGGUUUUGGGAAUCCUUUAAAAAAGUACUUGAAGGCAAAUUUUAGCCAGUUCUAGUGUUGAAUGGAGAAAAUCCAGCAAAGGAGCUGUCAAUAUGCAUGGAAUUUGUUAUAAUAGGAGUCUAAAAUUAAGACGAAAGAAAAACUUUUAAAGUUAUAGAUUGGAGUAGUAAUGUCAACCCUGGCAGUAAUCACAUGGUGUAACUAGAGCUGAAAAGAAAGCAGAGAUGGGUGUACACACCAAUUUUCUCAUCUUUUAUAGGAUCUAAACUAUUAUUUAUUUACAGCUACUGUAUGAAAUAACAAGAGUGUGCAAAUAUGGAUAUGAGUCAAGGUAAACAUUAAACUACAUAAAUAACCGAUUGGGUGGUCGUGGAGAAGGAGGGAAGACGUGAACAGACAGGAGUUCUGGUGUUGGCCACAGUAGCAUCUAGAGAGGACUAUCCAGAGAGAAGUAGAAGAUUUGGGUGUCUUCCGUGAAAUCACAACCCUAAGAUGAACACCAGAACACAAAUUCAGACUUUCCAGAUUUGUCAGAAGAGACAUACAAGACAAAAGCCAUAUAAUGAAAAGAAAAACAGGAAGCAAUCAAAGCAGAAAAAAAAAAUCUAAAAUAAAACCAAAAGCAGGAGUUUCAUUCUGAACAUCAGAGCAGAAGGGCGUGCAGUAAGACAAAGAAAGGCUUUUAAUGAUGAUAAGGAAUUCAUUGUACAGUGAAGACCUCAGUUAUAAAUAUCUGCAGCAAGGGACACAAUGUUCAUGAAGUAAAUUCCAGGAAAUAGAAGAGGGAAAAGCCAGAAGCUUAUAAUUUGUCUCAGUCAGCCUAGGACUGAUCAACUGGACUCCCUGCCCCAAUUUUAUAUAGUAAAUUGUACUCCAAGGACAGAGAAUGAGCUUUUUAAUUUACCUGUGGAAAAUAUUCACAUGGACCACAUAGUAGGCCACAAAGACAACCUCAAUAAAUUCCUUAAUAGAUCACCAGGCAGUCUAACUCAAAAUUUAAUCGUGUUAGAAAACAAAACACCCCAACAGCUGGAUGUUUUAAAACAGUCUUUAAUAAAACCCAGAGUCAAAGAGGAAAUCAAAACCAAAACAGCAGACCAGAUAGAAAAUAGCAGUGAUGAAAAUACUACACAGAAAACAGAACCUCUCUGAGGGCUGGUUGGCCAUAGCCUUCAAGAUUUAGGCCAGUUUUUCCACUCCUGGGUUAUUCUUGUUGCAGUAUAUUUACAUGUGUGUAAAAUAACGUAUACACAAGUAUGUCUACUGCAGCAUUUUUUGCUACUAUUGGAAAGACUGGAAACAAUCCAGAUUUCCAUUAUUAGAGAACUAUGUAAUUAUGAUACAUCCAUUGUGGGAUACUGGGCAGCUAGCUAAUGAAAAUAAUGAGGUCGCUUUCUAUGUCUUAAUAAGAAAAGAUUGCCCAACAUUCAUGACAGAGUGAAACAAACUAAGAGUGGAAUAAUGUGUGUGGUGUGCUACCAGUUUGUAUUGGACCAAAUUAUGUCCCCUCAAAUUCAUAGGUGAAGCCCUACCUUCCAAUGUGACUGUGUUUGGAGAUAAGUCCUUUCAGGAGGUAAUUAAGGUUAAAUGAGUCCACAGGGUGGGGUCCUAAUACAGCAGGACUGGUGUCCUUAUAAGAAGAAGAGACAGCAAGAAUGUGUGCAUGCAAAGGAGUGGCCAGGGAGAACAAGGGAGAAGGUGGCCACCUGCAAGCCAAGGAGCGAGUCCUCAGGAGAAAUUAAACAGCUGACACCUUGAUCUUGGACUUCCAGCCUCCAGAACGGUGAGAAAUAAAUUUAUGUUGUCUAAGCCACCCUGCCUGUGUUAUUUUGUGGUGGCAGCCCCAGCAGAUUAACACGGGGCGGGGGUGGGGGAGAAAAUUCUCUCUGUGUCAAUAGAUAUGAGUCAAUAUGGAGAGACCUAUGGGUAUAGAGACAUCCAUGAGUGUAUGGAGUGUUUAGGGAAGAGCGCCCGAUAAAGUGGUGACAGAAAUGGCCCAAGGGAGGAAGGAUGACUAAAGAGGUGGUGGGGGAGCUGCUUUUUGUUAUAUACCCUUUGGUUCUCAUAGUAUUACAGGUAUUUUCAUUUAAAUACAUUAUUUUCAAUUGAAAAAGACAAAUCAUCUGUUAAAAAAUUCAGCAGCUGCAGAAUAUUCGACCAAGGGUUUAUACUAUAAUGCAUUUAGCAUAAUUAAAUUAUAUACUUAACCCUUUCCUUCUGUGCUCUGUGUAUAUCUAAUGUAUAAAUAUAUAAGAUACAUGUCACAUAUAUGUCCAUGUAAUAGAUAGAUCUAUGUGUAAUUAUAGAUGGUAUUCGUAUACUACAUAUGUUAUAUGAUAAGCUAGAUAGAAGAGUAACUAUAUCAUAAUUUAUCCAUGAUAAUCAGACAUUACAUUUCCAGCACUUUGUAUGUAAUUAAUCAUCCUAGGAACAAUUUUAUGCAUAAAAAUGUUCAUUAAUGAUGAUACCCAGAAGUGAAAUCACUGGGUCGGAAAGGGAGAUGUUUUACUAACAAAAGUUAUUUCUUUAAUAGCACAUAUAGGUGUUUUGGUUUGAAAGAAUGCCCAUUUGUUGUAAAGAAUUUGGAGAACAUAGAGAGGUUGGAAGAAGAAAACGAAAGCCUGUGUAUUCUGAGCAUCCAGAGAUAGAUGCUUUUCAAGGCUUUUCUCCACGUGCCGGUACUUGCGGCAGUCUCAUUGUUAAGGCCCGGGGUUAGUGUUUUACGGUGAGGGCCCCUAUCAGGACAAGCAGUGGAGACCUCCAGGACCAAGAGUCAGUGCCGUCGUGGUUGUAGUAACAUGCAGGGUGGGGGGGGGAGCGGGUAGUGGAGAAAAGAUCCUUUCCCUUUGCAGUUAAGCAGCCAACAGCCCUCACAGCGGAAGACACACACACCGCGCCAACCUCGGCACCUGCUGAUUGUAGGACCCCCAGACAAACGCCAAGCAGUGGAGCUGGUAAAAAGCCCUGUGGCUCUGUCACCAGGGAUCUGCCUCCCAGGCCUCCCCAAGCUGAGAAGGAAGCAGAGCCCCCCGCCCCAUGCCGGUGCGCCAGCCUGGGCCCAAAGCAGAGGUACUGGCCUGUUCUGAAAGGCAGAUGCGAUGCUGAGGAUCCAGAACUCACUGAGGAUGCUGCCAAAAGCCAGGACACUGGCCAUCUUCAGUGAACGCAGCACGAACCAACCCUUCCCAACCCAGCAAAAGCCUACAGGAAAGAAAGAUUGAAUGAACCUUCCAGCGUUUUCAAGUCAUUAAAGCUUGAGCAGCAUGGAACUACAUCAACAGAUCAAUUUGUUUCCUCAUUGGCUGCUGCCCAGUUUCUCACCCCGCCCUCAGGACCACCUGGUUCAGCCUGUGGACAGGGGAGAAAAUCAUCUGCUCCAGAGGUUGGCUGAUCCUGAAAGUGAUAACGCUCAAAGAAAUGGCAUCAAAUUCUAGAGCAAGUUCAAAAUUUCUACCAUGUUUGUGCUCAACAUCCUUUUCCCGUCCCCAAAGGGAAACUUACGUUCAGUUUCUAAACGGUUUGGGACUUUGAGAAAUAAAAUGAGUUAAGAAUACUGCAACCAGAGUUCCCAUCGUAGCUCAGCAGA